AGUGCUGAGAUCACAGGUGUGCGCAACCACGUCUGGCCCGUGUCUUCUUCUAAGCAUACUGUAUUGAUAUUUUAAUCCUUGUUUCCUUUGUUCUUCCGUUCGAAGGCAGUCCCUCCCCACCACGCACACAUCCUUGCCCCUUCAUUCUCUGUGAUCCUGUCUGUGAGGCUUAGUCCUGGUCUCCGCCCAGCCUGCCCAGCAAAUACGCACGGAUCUGCCCCCGACUGCCGCCCUUGCCUCAGAGAUCGAGGAGUCCUCAGGUUCAUGGACUCGCGUUCUUAGGCGCAGCCAGGAAGCACGCAGGGCGCUCAGGAGAGAACCCUCCAAGGGUCUGCCUCUGAGCCUCCCGAGAACCGCGUUGAGGGCCUGGAGCGGGAGCGGAUGCAGUAGGAAAACCUCGUUAUAAACGCACGCGCUCAGACGCGUGCCCCGAGCCCAAGGUCUAGCGCGCGUCACUGCGAGCCAAGCUAACGGAAGGUGGAAAACACCGGUCUACAUUUUGGCCCAUAAAGAGGUUGCAAGAAAGCGUGGAAGACACGAUUACAGAGUGAGACCCUGGAAACCAUCCCAAAAACCGCGACCCGAGCGGCGGGCAGAGCGAGGCCCAGGCCAGGAGUCUUCAAGGCGACGAGCGCUCUGGACACCACCCUGUUGGUUUCCCGUCUCUCGAGCGAGAGAACGCUGCUUCCUCUGCGGAUCUAAGAUCCAGGCCCGGCCCCUCCUCUGCUACGGUGCUGCUCCUCGAGGCCUGGAACGGUUUGCCCGGUUCCUGGUUGGGAACUCUCGGCAACGACUGACAGGCGGCGCUGGUCUCCACGCUAGACUCGGGCACGCGUGGGCAGAGCGCUCGAAGGUGGUGGCCACUCAUUCCCCGCGGAUCCGAUUCCCUAGAGCAUGGUCUACACUCAUCCCUAAAAUGGAAAGCUCUCCGCGUUCUAUGGAGGUAGCUGAGCUUUUUGUUUUCAAGUCAGGUGAUACUAAUUUCCAGAAUUGUUGCUUUGUAGAGUGCAAAAUCAUGUUCAAAGAGCCCACAACGAUUUGCUGUCUCAGGGCUGGCUCCGUGGCUUAGCUGGUUAAAGCGCCUGUCUAGUAAACAGGAGAUCCUGGGUUCAAAUCCCAGCGGGGCCUGUAGGGUGGUAGUCUGGUGUCCCUUUUGAAAUUCUGUCUGGUGCAACGUGUCAGCCCUGAUGAAAUCUGUCUUGCUGUUUGAGAACAAGGAAUGGAAAAAGAACAGCUUUAGAAAUAGACCCUUUCAGGUGUUUCACUAUUGAAAAGAAAUCAUUUCUGCUACCUCACCAGCUGCAACGCAUUUGGAAUAAAGUUGGCACUUAAUGUUUUUAUCAUGGACCAGCAAAUGGAUAACUGGUGGUUUCUAAUUUUCAUUGCCUUGUACACGUAUACUUCUAUCAAUAGCUUUGAGGAACGAUGCACAGUGCCUAGAAAAAGUUAAAAAGAAAGGACUAGGAUUGGGAAGUUUGAAGUCAGAAAUGAUGUUUUGUACUUUGCUGUUAGCACAUGUUUUAUCUUCUGUUUCUUUGGACAUUCUAAGGUAUAUCUUCAAAUUAUGUGUCAGACACACAACACUCACUGUACCGUCACAAUGAUGCGUACAAAAUUUUUCAAGCAAUGGAUUGCAUCUCAAACAGCUUCUUGCUCCUUACCAUAAUCGCUCAACAGAUUGCUCAGUCUCUGUUGAGCAUGUGGGAGGUCGGGGCGCUGGAUAUAAUGUAACAUAAUGUAAUGUAAUAGAAUAUAAUGUAGUAACAUCACUCAGCCCCGAACUACUAGGUGAUGAAGGUGCUUUCCUUUAUCAAACAAUUUUCAAACAAAGCCUAGACUUCUACCGUUGUGUCUUUGGUUAAAGGACUUCUCCAUAAUCAAAUACUAUUUCUUUCCCGACUUACAUAUUGUUUAUUCAAACAGAGCCUGGUUUCUCAGGGACCACAUGCCAUUUGGGCUGUGGUCCCCAGGCAGUGAGGUGCUUUUUGUGAUUUAAAGUGGGCCUAGAGUCACCUGAGGCUAGUUAUGUGGUUCUUUCUCCUUCAGGCCCAAGUAUUAAUUCCAAAUAUUGGCACUGGAUAAACUUGGGUGAGAUGAUUUUGAUGUCCCUAAAAAAGUGAACAGUAAGGCACAGCUAUGAGGGAAAAUGUUGAGGAGAGAGAAAUGGUGGUAAUACUUGGAGGUAUUUUCACCUGUGUUCAGGCAAGGAGCCUUAGGUGAGUGAGGUGAACUUGGCAACAAAGCUACAGAAAGCUGCAAACGCUCCCACUCGGCAGGCUGUGGAGGUCUCCCGGCACCUCUGUCCCCGCUCCCUGCCCUGCUUCCUCCUUGGCUCUGAGACUGCGGCCAAAGCUGUCACCCCAUUUGCACACGGGCAUCGCUCAAAGCUGGGCAUCCCCCAUUGCACAGACAGCUCAGUCCACAGUGAACCGUGACCACAUGAGGAAGAUGCCAGUCCCAGGACUGGUAAGGAAGGAGUUGAUCCUUCCAGCACCUCUCAGAAUUUCUUCAUCCAGCGUAUGGCCCUUGGCAGCCUGUCUGGAGCUGACACCCUCCCAACCGUGUCUACAUGAAGUCUCUGCCAAGCCUCAAACUCAUAUUUCUGUUUCUGCCAGCGACCCCUGUAGUCAGGUUCCAGUCCCCACCUGCCCAACGUGUGAUGCAGGCCUGAGAAAAAGAAUACACUGAGAGACAGAACUAGGAGAGAGAAAGCGGGCGCCAGGACGACCGGUGCCGGUGCGACCGACAAAGGCCCUGGCCAGUCCCAGGCACUGACUUUCAUUGGCAAUCAAUUGGGGUAAAGGUGAGCUACGUGCAGUUUCUGUGGAAAUUAAUGUAAACAAGGCUCCUAAAGGACAAGACAAAGCAUCCUCAAAUUAGCAACCGAAUAGACAAAAUGUAUGGCUGUAAUUAGAACACUGUCCUCCUAGUCUGAAGGUUUUAGUUGUGGGAACAGAAUUUGGGUUCGAGUUACUCUGCCCUCGGCAGGACCUUGCAAGGCAGGCAUGGUACCAGGGUCACUUCUACAAACACGUGAAUUGUGAGGCUAGGUCUUCACAGCCUGCCUGGGGCAUGGCCAGUGUUAGGGUCCUCUGCACGCUUGCGCUUGGGUUUCCUGCAGGCAUCCCUACCAAGGCCCACCGCAGACUGAACUCCAACAUUCCGGUCAGAAACUGGGUUGCACUGGUCUCCUCCAUGUCUGCCCCUGGGAUCCUGCAGUCUGCUGGUCUCCCUGCAGCCUGUGUGUGGGCCUCUCCCCAUCCUUCUCUUCUCCCUAUUUGGGCCAUCAGCAUUCAUCACGGCAACCUCACAACAACCUGCUGCUGUUCCUGCCGCCUGCAAGAGUGGGAGUCUCCAUCCACCUCAGAUCCACGGAGGCUGACUUCACCUACAGAACAUCAUUUGUGUGCAUUCCCAUCGCACUUUUACUUCACUUGGGGUUUAUUUAGAAAUGUAGUGUUUAUCCUUCCAAAACCUGAGAAUGUUUUACCUGUCUUUGUGUUAUUGACUUCCACUUUGUGUUGUCAGAAAUCAUAUUUUGUAAUGAUUUUAAUCCUUUAAAAUUUAUCGAGACUUGUGUUAUAGCCCUAUUUUGGUGAAUUCUCCACACACAUUUGAAAAUAAUGUGUAUUCUGCAGCAUUUGGAUGUGAAUAUAAAUGCCACCUAGGUCAGAUUGGUGGUUAAUAGCCAUGCUUCGAGUUUACUAUAUUCCUAGUUGUUUCCUCUUUCGGCUGCUCAUCAGCUAGUCAGAGGUGUCUAAAAUCGCCAACCAUGAUGCUGGUGAUUCUUAUUCUUGGUUUUAAUUUUCUUCAUAUAAGAAUGAAUGUCUUCCUGUGGAAUUGGUCAUUUCAUCAUUAUGUAAUGCUCCUCCUCGUCUGGGGUCUUGCGUUUUGCCUGGACUUCUACUCGGAUAUAUCAAUGUAUCUCUGCCAGCUUUCUCACCAGGGUGUGCUCUUGGCAUGUCCUUGUCCAUCUCUGCUAUUUUUAGUGUGCCUCUGGAAGAAAAACAGUGGCCCUGUUUCUUUUUAUUUCACUUACUGUCUAGCCUGACAAUCUCUGCCUUUUAAUGGCUUAACACAUUUACGUUGGACACACUUAUUUAUGAUUGGAUUUAAGCCCAGCGGUGUAUCUGUUCUUCCUUGCUUUGUUUGUCCCUGAAGGAACUUACCUGUUUCUUUUGUUCCUUCACCCCUCCUUUGAAUUAAUAUUUAUUAGUCAAUUUUAAUUUUUCACUACCUAAAAUGUAAUAUCUUUCCUCGGCAGUUGCUUUUAAAAUGUUUUUCUUUAUCUUCGGCUUCAACCAUACCGAUGUAGUUUCGAGUAGUUGUAAUUUUCUUUGUGUUUCUCUUAGCUGGUGUUUGCUGAGGGAGUUGAUUCUUCCUUCCCCAUGGGUCCGCACGUGUCAGGUUGUGUAUCUUAAUGCAGGUCAAUCACUGCUGACUGAAGGCUAAUGCCCAACCUCUCCAGUUUCUGCCCAGCCCUGGAGCUCGCAUUUACCGCCCUGACCUCAGGUCUCUGGAUCCUCCACUCCCUUGUUUCCGCUCCAACCCCUCUCCGACCUUCCUCCUUGCAUCCAUCCAGGCUCGGCGCAGUCUCUUUCCUCCCGGAAGGCUUCCUCCUCGGGGACCGGGAGUCUCCAAAGGCGCUCUGCACCCUGGACAACAGCACCACAGGCAUAUUUUUCUGAAGGAAAAAGUAAAUUAGUUUCUCCGCCAUUGACGUCAAAGAAAAUUUAUUUCUAUCAUGAGAGGGAAGCAGACCUGCUAGGUGGUUUCCGUGGUGUAGUGGUUAUCACGUUCGCCUAACACGCGAAAGGUCCCCGGUUCGAAACCGGGCGGAAA